rnacentral:lncRNA from 1 species
UAUGUAGAAAAGAACUUUUGUUAGAGUUCUAAAAGAAUUUAAUAUUUUUAGUCGAAUGUGGUAAUGCAGAGAGAUGAUUGUGACACAUGAUGAAUAAAAUGUGCUCUUUUACAUGGAAAUAUAAUACAUGUCCUGCAGGUGAGUGGACCCAUAGCAAUUUUACUGAAGAUUAAAGUUUGACUGACCUUUGGUAGGGUGAUUAACCUUUCUGAAAUUAAAAGCUGCAUCUGAAUUAGUCUGUCUAAUUUAAAUGCAAA